rnacentral:rRNA from 1 species
GGGCCAGACUCCUACGGGAGGCAGCAGUGGGGAAUAUUGCACAAUGGGGGAAACCCUGAUGCAGCGACGCCGCGUGAGUGAAGAAGUAUUUCGGUAUGUAAAGCUCUAUCAGCAGGGAAGACCACGACGGUACCUGCAGAAGAAGCUCCGGCUAACUACGUGCCAGCAGCCGCGGUAAUACGUAGGGGGCGAGCGUUAUCCGGAUUUACUGGGUGUAAAGGGAGCGCAGGCGGCCUUGCAAGUCUGAUGUGAAAGGCCGGGGCCCAACCCCGGGACUGCAUUGGAAACUGCGAGGCUGGAGUGUCGGAGAGGCAGGCGGAAUUCCUAGUGUAGCGGUGAAAUGCGUAGAUAUCAGGAGGAACACCGGUGGCGAAGGCGGCCUGCUGGACUGUGACUGACGUUGAGGCCCGAAGGCGUGGGGAGCAAACAGGAUUAGAUACCCCAGUA